rnacentral:lncRNA from 1 species
GAUCUCCUGACCUCGUGAUCUGCCUGCCUCGGCCUCCCAAAGUGCUGGGAUUACAGGCAUGAGCCACCACGCCUGGCCUCCAUCCCCCAGAUUUCUUAACAGGCUGACAGGAUCCGCAGUAUGACAAAGGUGGAGGAGGAGGCUAGAGGGGCAAUGUCAGUCAUGUAACCUGGAGGGGUGAUUUUGUGCACUGUGGUGUAUGUUUCAGACAAUGCAGGAGAAAGGAAAGAGAGUUGAGGAUCAAGAAAAUUAGAAUUAAAUGUGAUUGUUGGGGAGAUGUCUCAGACAAAGUUAGAAAGGAUUACUGGGGGCCUAAAGUUUUUCAGGGCCUUUUGAAAUUUCUAAACUUGUCUGGGCACAGUGGCUCAUGCCUGUAAUCCCAGCACUUUGGGAGGCUGAGGCGGUCAGAUCACCUGAGUCCAGGAGUUUGAGACCAGCCUGGCCAACAUUGUAAAACCCCGUUUCUACUAAAAAUACAAAAAUUAGCUGGGUGUGGUGGUGCACGCCUGUAAUCCCAGCUAUUCAGGAGUCUGAGGCAAGAGAAUCACUUGAACCUGGAGGGCAGAGAUUGCAGUGAGCCAAGAUCACACCACUGUACUGCAGCCUGGGCAACAGAGCGAGACUCUGUCUCAAUAACAACAACAAAACAACAAACCGGAGCUCAUGACACGGCUGGAAUUUUACCAUUUGUGAAUAUGUAUUUUAAAUGUUUUCAGCUUGUUUUUUUGUAUUUUUUUCCAUUUUCUUUUAAAAGAUAUGCAGAUAGGACUUUUUCCUCUUUAACUGUCUUAUUUUGGGAGCCCCCAGAUUUCAGGGAAGAGCCCCACACUAUAUGAGCACAUGAGUUGGACAUUUCUGGUUCCCCGCCCUGAGUUGGACAUUGCCAGUCAUGUCUGCAGAAGAACCAUCCUGCCUGUUGGAAGCUGCAGUUUUACCUUCUGGUUCUUGCCUGCUCAUCCCCUACCAUACUAAGCCUCCAGAGUGUGGGAAUGUGCACCAUUUCCUAACUAUAUUAACUCACUGCCACCAGUCUGGUGUGGGUGCUCAGUACAAGUGAAUCCUGAAAAAGCCUCAGGCUCUUGGAUGGAGGAAAACUGGCUGCAUUUGAAAGCCAUACUUCAAUUUCUAUUGGUCACUGCUAGUAUAAACUUUAAUUAUUGAUUUAAACAAAUUUUAUCUGGAUCCAAUUAUGUUGAUAAAUUAUUUUUAGGUUUAAUAAUUUGUUAGAUUCAUUUCCUAGCUUUUCUAGGUUUAGAAUAAAUAAUGAUUUAUUUGUCUUUUGAUGUCACUUAUGUUGUGCAUUAGCAAGAACUUCAGAAAACAUGGAACAGUAGAUGUCUUUCUCUUAACGCUUGGGGGAAUGUUUUUAGUAUUCUGCAGUUUCAUAUCGUGUUCAUUGUUGGAUUCUGAUGUUCUGUUAGAUUUAGGAAGUUUCCUUCUAAUCUUAUUUCUAGAAGAAGCAGUGUAGUUUAGUGGUUAAGAGCACAGAUUUUGUUCCCAGUGCCCUAGGUUCAAAUCCUGAGUCCACCACUUUGUUAGGUGUGUGAUCCUGGGCAAAUCACUUACCUUCCUUGUAUCUUAUUCCUCCAUCUAUAAAAUGGAGCUACCUCAUAGGGUUGUGAAGAAUACAUUAUUGUAACAAUACUGGGCACACAGUGCACAGUUUCCCAAUUAUUAUUAUACUUACAGUUUUGUUUUCUGUUUUUUUUUUUGACAAGGUCUCCCUCUGUUGCUCAGGCUGGAGUGUAGUGAUGUGACCAUAGGUCACCUCAGCCUUGAACUCCUGGGCUCAAGAGAUGCUCCUGCCUCAACCUCCCCUAUAGUUAGGAAUACAGGCAUGUGCCACCAUGCCCGACUAAGUUUUUAUUUUUAUUUUUUGUAAACAUGGGGUUUCACUAUUUUGCUCAGGCUGGUCUUGCGGUCCUGGCCUCAAGCGAUCAUCCUGCCUCAGCUUCUCUAAGUGCUGGGAAUACAGGUGUGAGCCACCAUGCCUGGCCUAUACUUAAAAAGUUUUUAUUAGGAUUGGUUGCUAUAUUAUAUCAAGUUUAAAAACUCCAUCAUUGUAAUUUUAUGAGUUAUGGUUUUUUCUUUUUGUAAUUCAUUUUCUUGACAAGUUUGCAAAUAUUUGCAAUUUCCUUGUACUUUUCAAGUAAAAUCUAUUUGUUCAUAGUGAAUUUUUAUUAAGUACAGAAGUAGAUUCAAUUUGGUAAUGCUUUGCUAGCUUUGCAAAAGAAUUUGGAAAAAAUUUUGUUUAUCUUAUUGCUAUGGAGAGUUUGUAUAACAUGGGAAUUGUUCCUUGAAGGCUUGCUAAAAGUAACUGGGCCUGGUUCUUUGGGUGAGGGGAUUGGGAGGGAUAUAUCUUUAGCAACUGUUUUAGUCAGUUUGAGCUAUUAUAACAAAAUACCAUAGAGGAUGGCUUAAACAACAGACAUUUAUUUCUCACAGUUCUGUAGUCUUCAUAAUUCAACAUCAAGAUGCCAGAAUGGUUGAGUGCUGGUGAGGGCUCUCUUCCUGGUUUGCAGAUGGCCCCCUUUUUCCUGUGUCCUCAAAUUUCAGAGAGCAAGAGCACUGGUGCCUCUUCCAAGUCUUUUAAGGGCGUUAGUGAGAGUGACAGCCCCAUUCUCAUGACCUACUCCAAUCCUAGUUAUUUUCCAAAGGCCCCCCACCCCCAAAUAUAACAUUUGGGGUUAGGGCUUCAACAUAAAUAUUCAUUCUAUAACAUUCCACUCCUAGCCACUCUAUUCAUAUCCUUACAUACAAAAUAAGUUCAUUCCAUCCUAACAGCCUCCAAAGUUUUAACUCAUUCUAGUAUCAACUAACAUUUAAAGUCCAAAGUCUCAUCUAAAUAUCUAAAUAUCUAAAUAAAGGCCGGGCAUGGUGGCUCACGCCUGUAAUCCCAGCACUUUGGGAGGCCGAGGCGGGUGGAUCACUACGUCAGGAGUUCGAGACCAGCCUGACCAACAUGGUGAAACCCCAUCUCUACUAAAAAUACAAAAAUUAGCUGGGCGUGAUGGUGUGCACCUGUAAUCCCAGCUACACGGGGAGGCUGAGGCAGGAGAAUCGCUUGAACCCGAGAGACAGAGGUUGCAGUGAGCCGAGAUCGCACCAUUGCACUCCAGCCUGGGCGACAGUGAGACUUUGUCUCAAAAAUAUCUAAAUCAGAUAUGGGUGAGACCCAAGGUUUAGCUUAUCCUGAGGCAAAAUUCCCCUCCAGCUGUGAACCUAUGAAACCAGACAAGUUAUGUGCUUCCAAAAUACAGUGAUGGGAUAGGCAGGAUUAGGUAUUCCAAUUCCAAAAGUGAGAAAUUGGAAGGAAGAAAGGGAUGAUGAGGCUGGGUGUGAUAGCUCAUGCCUUUAAUCCUAGCACUUUGGGAGGCUGAGGUGGGAGGAUUGCUUGAGUCCAGGAGUUCGAGACCAGCCUGGGCAACAUAGGGAGACCUUAUUUCUACAAAAAUAAUAAAAAUAAUUAGUUGGGCAUGGUGGCUUGAGCAUGGGAGUUCGAGGCUACAGUGAGUUGUGAUCGUACUGCACUCCAGCCUGGAUGACAGAGUGAAACCCUAUCAAUAAAAAAUAAAAAAGGAUGGGGGAGCAGGGGGAUGAUGGUCCUAUGCAAGUCUAAAACUUAGCAAGGCACGUUUCAUGAGAUCUUAGGCUCAUGAAUAAUCCUCUUUGGUCCUAUACUGUCCUCUCCAGGACCCCCUGGGCGGUGGUCCUGACCCGAUAGAUCUGCCAGGCAGGGGUGACUCCCCCGUGGCUUUUGUUGGAGACCAUCUGGCCUGUGGAAACUGGGGCAGUAUCCCUCAUGAUCUCUAAAUAGCCAAGAGAAGAGUCAUUCUUGUAUGGAACAAUGGACAUUCACAGCCUUCCUCAUUCCUGGCUUUAGGACUUCAGAUACAAUCAUGUCAGAGCUCAGGGCUUCAACAUAUGAAUUUUGGGGGCACAGUUCAGUCCAUAGCAAUACUUCCAUUCCCCUGACCUGCAACAUGUCCAGUUACUUCGAAAAGUACUUGUCAUCCACUAUAUUAAUAACAUGCUCAUUGCCAGCCUAUGAAACAAGUUGACCACUCCAUACAUAAGGUCAUAGAUAAUAUGACACAUGCAGGUUGAGUUGUCAGCCCUGAUAAGAUCCCAAGACUUGCCCAACAAGUGCAGUCCCUGGAGCUACCUGGUCCAGUAAUUAGAGGAGUAUUCCUGAUAAAGUCAAAUAUUGUCCUUGGCAGCCCCCACCUAAAAGAAGCUCAAUAGCUGGUAUGCCUGUUUGUCUAUUGGAGAUAACAUGUAUCACAUCUGAGUAUUAUUUUGCCUCCUUUAGUUAAAAUUACCCACAACACAGCCACCUCUGAAUGGGGCCCUCAACAACAGCAGACUCGAGAGGCCUACUAUGCAUUAACAUGGGCCUGACAUUAAUGUAGGCCCAUGGAACUACAGGUCUCAUUGACUCUUACCCAUACAGAUUGGAUACUGCGGCAACAAGAGACUGCUAUCAGGAUGCACCAGGCCCUUAGGUUUUGGACAUAUAAAUUACCCAAGAUGGUUGCCAUAUACAUUCCCUUUGAAUGGCAGCUACUAGCCUGCUAUUGGACUCUAAUUUAAACAGAACACUUGACCACUGAAGCACUGUAUGUGACCUUAAGACCUGAGCUGCCCAUCUCAUGCAGGUAUUAUUAACGAAAAAUAAAAAUGGAAGCCCCAGUUUAGAAAUACCCUAAGGCUGACUACCCGCAACCGUGUAACCAAAACUAAUCAUUCUGAUUUUCCUGAAAUGCUGUCUCUGAUCAUAAAUGAAAUGCAAAAUGUAAGCUUUACAUCCUUGCCAGCAUGAUUCACUGAAAUUAAACCAAUCAGCUAUAGACCAACAAGCUUAAACAGCUCAACUUGCCCUAAAAAGAAUGUAUAACAGCCAAUUAUAAAAAAGGUCAAAAUAUUCCCCCCCUUUAUGCAUUAUAAACUGUGUUGUAACUGCUGUAAGAUUAAUUUCUUACCACUUGAUUUGAGUCUUCUAGAUUGUGGUCUGUACUUCUUGUUUGAACAAUAAACUUUUAAAUUUUUCUUUAUCUGAUUUUAUUUUUUUCACAGUGCUCACUAAUCCUAAUAAAACACGACAGGUUCAGCCAAGUACCAUCAUUAAAUGGAAAUGUUACAUAUAAGAUGGAGCCUGAUUGGGAUCCCAGGGGGUCUGCCAACUCCAUGAAGUAACUGUCUUGCCAGAG